UACGUAGGGGGCAAGCGUUGUCCGGAUUUAUUGGGCGUAAAGAGCGUGUAGGCGGCUUUACAGGUCCGUUGUGAAAACUCGAGGCUCAACCUCGAGACGCCGGUGGAAACCGUAAGGCUAGAGUCCGGAAGAGGAGAGUGGAAUUCCUGGUGUAGCGGUGAAAUGCGCAGAUAUCAGGAGGAACACCAAUAGCGAAGGCAGCUCGCUGGGACGGUACUGACGCUAAGGCGCGAAAGCGUGGGGAGCGAACAGG
rnacentral:rRNA from 1 species